rnacentral:lncRNA from 1 species
UUUUCUUUCACAGUUUAAUUUCUAUUAUAAUUGUUCUAACAGCCUUCUAGCUGAUUUUGCCUACCUCUGCUCUCUCUUCCAUUCAACCUCUCAUGAACUAGUUAGUCUUCAUGAAUACAUUUUAUCAUGUCCCUGUCCUGCUUAAAAACCCUUUGCCUACAGGAUAAUCUUCACGCCUCUAACCUGCAGUCUGAGCCCUGCCUGAACACCCAGGUUCUACUUAUCUUUCCAAUGUUAUAUUCUACUACUUCCCUACCUGAAUCCUUUUGAUUUAGCAGUUUCCCGAAUGUGUUCAUGCAUAUGUUCAUUCAUUUAGUGCUAAGGAAUGGGCUAGGUGAUGGGAAUACAGCAUGAACCCUAAGAUACAGCCCCUGGCCUCAGGGCAUUUCUAGUCUGAUGGUAAGACCAAAAUUAGAGAAGUAAUACUAAUACUAAAGCAGCUGGUGUGGUGGGGGUGAUAAGGUGUGUUUCAGGCACAGGGAAUAGCAUAUGCAAAGGCCAGGAGACUAGAAAGAGUAUAGGGACUUCCAUUAGUCCUGUAGAAUGCUGAAAGGAGAGUGGCCAGAAAUGAGAAGCAAAAGCAAGCAGAGGCCAGAGCAUGGGGAGGAGUGUGUGAGCUGGGGCAGGAUUUUGGCUGCAGGACCACUAAAGGCUUUUAAGCAGUGGGGUGGGAUGAUUUCUCAUCUGCAAUUUUGCAAACUCCCUCUAACCACUGGGUAGAGUAUGGGUUAGAGGGAACAAGGCAAGAGGAAGGGAGACCAGUUUGGAGAUUGUCAUAUUAUCCAGCAGCACACUGAUGUGGUUUGAAUUGGGGAAGUAGCAGAAGGAUGGAGAGACGGUGAUGGAGUCACGUGAGUUUCUAUUUUCUUACUCCUCCCACCUCCCGUACCCUGCCUCCACCUUUUUGCCAGUCCGAAUCCAGUUAGCUGCUCAUCUCUAAACUGCUUAGGCUAUUUUUACACCUACCCAGGUUCAAUCAGUACCUGUUGGCUCAUCUUCUUUACUGCUGGCCACCUCGCUGUAGCUGCAACUUGGAAAGAAGCAUGUCAAUACUACUUGUUUGGGUAGCCUCCUUUGUUCCUAUUAUUGAAAAUGAAUGAGUGAGGGGAAGAAUUUAACCCAGAAAUACAGCUCUUGCUUGUGACUUUUGUUGUACUGUGCUCUUCAUGAGGAGCCCUGGCGAACUGAUACCAGAGUAACUCACAGACUCAGCUGCUUGAGAACACAGCCAUAGUCUCCUCAUCUUAUCCCCAGCACCCUACACAGAGCCUGGACCACAGCAGAUGCCCCAGCUUUGAACCAAGC